CGACCGGCGCACGGGUGAGUAACACGUAUGGAACCUGCCCUAUGCAGGGGGAUAAGCGGAAGAAAUUCCGUCUAACACCGCAUAACACCUUUAGGAGACAUCUUCUUGGGGUCAAAGGAGGCGACUCCGGCAUAGGAUGGCCAUGCGUCGCAUUAGCUAGUCGGCGGGGUAACGGCCCACCGAGGCGACGAUGCGUAGGGGUUCUGAGAGGAAGGUCCCCCACACUGGUACUGAGACACGGACCAGACUCCUACGGGAGGCAGCAG
rnacentral:rRNA from 1 species